rnacentral:ncRNA from 1 species
UGCGCAGGACGACCUGUGUACGUAUCUUAAUUCGGGGACGACCCC